rnacentral:misc_RNA from 1 species
GAUGAAGAACGCAGCGAAAUGCGAUAAGUAAUGUGAAUUGCAGAAUUCAGUGAAUCAUCGAAUCUUUGAACGCACAUUGCGCCCCUUGGUAUUCCGAGGGGCAUGCCUGUUCGAGCGUCAUUAUAACCCUUCAAGCUCAGCUUGGUGUUGGGGCCUGCUGCACUGGCAGCCCUUAAAAUCAGUGGCGGCGCCAUCUGGCUCUAAGCGUAGUAAUUCUUCUCGCUAUGGAGUCCUGGUGGAUGCUUGCCAUCAACCCCCAAUUUUUCUAUGGUUGACCUCGGAUCAGGUAGGGAUACCCGCUGAACUUAAGCAUAUCAAUAAGCGGAGGA